rnacentral:misc_RNA from 1 species
GCGGUGCCGACCGGCAGCGUCUUCAGCGACAGGCCGAGCAGAAGGACGCUGGCGAUCAUGCUGACGAUGGUGAACACCGACGGCAUCAGGCGCGUGAAACCGUCGGUAUAUUUCACCCAGCCGAUCUCAAGCAAACCCGCAACAAACAGCAUUGUCCAUGCCAUGGCUAAAUACCUCCAUAACAGGGCCGUCCCUGCGGA